rnacentral:lncRNA from 1 species
GUUAAUACUGAGUGUCAACUUGAUUGGAAUGAAGGAUGCAAAGUAUUGAUCCUGGGUGUGUCUGUGAGGGUGUUGCCAAAGAUUUGUGUUAGCGAGCUGGGAAAGGCAGACCCACCUUUAAUCUGGGUGGGCACCAUCUAAUCAGUUGCCAGCGUGGCUAGAAUAUAAAGCAGGCGAAAAAUGUGAAAAAACGAGACUGGCCUAGCCUCCCAGUCUACAUCUUUCUCCCGUGCUGGAUGCUUCCUGCCCUCGAACAUCGGACUCCAUGUUCUUCAGUUUGGGGACUCGGACUGGCUCUCCUUUCUCCUCAGCGUGCAGAUGGCCUAUUGUGGGAUAUUGUGAUCAUCACUGGCUCCUUUGGCAAAGGCUGACUCCAGGAAAGUCACAAACAGCAUGAUCCUUGUGAUCAAAUCCAGCCACCAGAGGUAAGGUGUAGGCCUCAACUACAGAACAUAAGAGGGAAGAGGAAAAAGCUUUUUCCUCCCCUACAAAGUCUUUGGAAAAGAGCCUAUUUUUUUCAUUCGUGGCUGUGACUUGACUAUGUACAAAUACAAACGUCUUGGAGUAUUUUCUUAACAAGGAUGGAUGAUUCUACCAAGAAUGGUAUGAUCAUUAUUACUCUCAUCAGCUUCCAGCAACUUCUGUACUAUGUCUGAACCACAGGUGUCCACAGUGACCCUGUCUCCUUUACACAGGACUAACAACAGCACAUUUAAGUGCAUUAAUAUUACAAGAAAAACCUGGAAUUGUAUAGAAAAAUGUUCCCACAAAGUGGGAGGGAGCCAAGAAACCAAAGAAUUAUUCAGAGAAGUCCAGCUUUGGCAAGUAGAUGUGUUUAUUAAGAUUUACCUACAGGGCACUCCUGGACAGCAGCAGGACUGCUCUAGAGAUCUGUGCCACCUCCCAUCUCUGAACUAUCUUUAAGCUGAUUUUCUGGCUCUUUGUCUACCGUGUUUGAGUGAUGAGACUGUUUUUCUUGGUAGGUUCUCAGAUACUCCUCAGGAUGCUUAGGUUCUCAGGGAUACCUGUUGCCUCAGCUGCACAGCAUGGCCUUGGCUCACUACCUGGCCUUCGAGGUUCCAGCAGCAGGCAUGCACCCUUCAGUAACCUGGUGCAGGACCCAUCACACUACAAUUAAAAUGUGUAUGUGGGAAGAAUGCAACCCAAAGGGUUAGCAUGAGUUAUUUCCUGAUGAGGAAAUGUUUUAAUGAACCUUUUUUUGGCUUUUCUUUAUUUUCUACAUUUUCAGCAGUGAAUAUUAGUUUUAUGAUACGAAAGCUCUUUCCUCUUAAUAAAUAUUAAUUUAAAAACAAAAAAAUUAAAAGUUACAAGACAGGCAAUAUCCUCUAGAUCACUCUUUUGCUAGUAUUUUUGUCUUUUUUUAACCUUCAGUCCAGAUUUGACAUUGCUGUUGAAGCACUUACAAGUGUUCAGCAUUCCUUGCUCUUUGGAUGGCUAUGUAGGUAGCAGAAGGGAAGGUCUUUCUUUGGGAUUUUGCAGUCUCUGCAGGGGUUCAACAUUUGCCUCCCAACCUGAAUCAGAGCUUAUUUUAUUUUAGUUUUUUGCAAUUGCACAGCUAAUCACUACUUCUUAUGUAAGCUCAGCUAUGGGAAUUAUUUUUAUUAAGCAUAGCUCCUAUUCAUGAAGGAUAGAAUAAUUUUUUAAAAAAGAAAUUAGUACAAUGGUGUAGGGAAGAAAGAGUAAUAUUUUUUCCUUGCUUGUUGCAAGGUUCAUGACUUACGCCCCAUAACAAAAACAAAUUAACAAGGGAAAAGUGUAACAAAUUUAUUUAACCAAAGUUUUAUGUGACAUGGCAGCCUUCAGAAAUGAAGAACCCAAAAAUGGAGGAAACUGUGCACUUUUCUGUUUAGGUUUGAUGAAGAGUAGAUACUUGUGGAGAAACAUGAUUGGAUAAGGGGGUAUGAUCUAACAGUAAUAAACUGGGGGACUUAACAAGGGCUGUGUGUUCAGAU